UACGUAGGGGGCAAGCGUUAUCCGGAUUUACUGGGUGUAAAGGGAGCGUAGACGGCUGUGCAAGUCUGGAGUGAAAGGCAUGGGCUCAACCCGUGGACUGCUUUGGAAACUGUGCGGCUAGAGUGUCGGAGAGGUAAGUGGAAUUCCUAGUGUAGCGGUGAAAUGCGUAGAUAUUAGGAGGAACACCAGUGGCGAAGGCGGCUUACUGGACGAUGACUGACGUUGAGGCUCGAAAGCGUGGGGAGCAAACAGG
rnacentral:rRNA from 1 species